UCGGUCCACCUCCUCGGCGCCGCCGCACCACCAGGUAUCGGGCUCUAGAGUUACUUCAGUCGCCAAUAUAUGGCUCUGCAGUUGAUUUAUGGGCAAUGGGCGCCAUCAUGGCUGAAUUAUUUACUCUUCGUCCUCUU